rnacentral:rRNA from 1 species
GAUAAACGCUGGCGGCGUGCCUAAUACAUGCAAGUCGAGCGGAAAGGCUCCUACGGGAGUACUCGAGCGGCGGACGGCUGAGUAACACGUAGGAACGUACCCCAAAGUGAGGGAUAACUGCUCGAAAGAGUAGCUAAUACCGCAUGUGCUCUAAGGAGUAAAGCUUCGGCGCUUUGGGAACGGCCUGCGCCUGAUUAGCUUGUUGGUGAGGUAAAAGCUCACCAAGGCGACGAUCAGUAGCUGGUCUGAGAGGAUGAUCAGCCAGACUGGGACUGAGAACGGCCCAGACUCCUACGGGAGGCAGCAGUAGGGAAUUUUCCACAAUGGGCGAAAGCCUGAUGGAGCAACGCCGCGUGCAGGAUGAAUGCCUUCGGGUUGUAAACUGCUUUUAUAUGUGACGAAUAUGACGGUAGCAUAUGAAUAAGGAUCGGCUAACUCCGUGCCAGCAGCCGCCGUAA